UAAACAGGGUUCAACUUAUUUCAUGUAUGAUGCAAGAUGUUUAACUGCACUUUAGAAGGCAGAGCAAUUUGUCCACAAAUCUGUGCUAAGACAGGCGAGUUAGAUAAGAAAAAUGCAAAUGUAUGUGAUUAGUACAACUGCCAAAGGUGAGUUCCAUACAUCCAUGGCAGAAUAAAAAGCACAAAUGGCAUUAUCUUGUAAUUUAAUAAACAUGUGUGUAUUCCAGAACAAUGUUUAUUUUUAAAUAUUAUUCUAUUUGUAACUUGGUAAACACAAAACACAAUGAUACCAAUAAUUAUGCCCCAAAAUGGGGCUCAAAUGAGCUCAGGAGGUCGCAGGUCUCAAACUAAGUCGCAGAGCCACCCAUGUUCAUCGAUUUUUUUGUUUUGCUCAAAAUAAAAAAAAUGUCACGCACAGAUACUUUAUCUAUGGAUCCUGUUAUUUUCCAGUUGCCUUUAAUUUAACCAAAUCUAUCAAAAAGCCAGUUAAUUACAAGACCAAACUUACAGUAACUCAGGCGCCCCUAACUUGCCAUAGAAAAGUCUAUGCAGAUAUUUUAGAAGUAGCAAAUAAUGCGUUUCUGUUAAAUCUGUUGCGACAUUUUGUGACGUUAUUCUUUCUUUAAAUACUUGAAAUUAUUCGCUAAAUUAUAUUUUGCAAGAAAAAGUGAAUGCCAUUCACAUCAAAAUAACAAAAAAAAAAAAGAUAAUUCCACAUGAAAAAUACUCACUUGGACGCUACUAACUUUAGUGACCCACACAAAUACACUGUGAACUGGAAGGAAUCUUUCCAUUAAAUUAAUGUAGGUGUUUAUAUUCAUUACACAUAAAUUCAUAAACCAAUAUAACUUAUUUAAUUUCGAGUGUCAGAAUCUUAUUUAUAGUAACAGCAGUCUAAAAUAUAUUAACAUAUAAAAAAAAUAAAUAUUAAAUAUACUUACGGGAUCUUUUUUUAUUGCAAUACAACAUUUAUUGGUAUUUGAUUGGUAACAUAUAUUUUGUAUAUAUUUUAAGGUUUCAUUUGAAUUAAUAUUGAAUAUUGUAUUAACAGUUUAUACAAAUGUCCCUAUUUUUGCAAAUGUUUGUUAUUUUGACAUACUUAUUGGUUUUGUAAUCUGACUUCAUUAAGAAUAAAUUUGAAAUGUAAUGAAAA